CAAUCAUAGCUGCAAUGAAUGCAAUUUACAACAAGGAUACAGAAGUACCUAGACUAAUUUCAGAGGAUCAGUACCUUGCCUAUAAGAGAAGAUAUGAUGGACAUUAACAAAGGAAAAUUAAAAAACUGAUUAAUUUGCCAGUAUGUCACUAGAAGAUGGGAUAUCAUUCUCUCUCAGUGUGGAGUGCAGCCCUAAUCACUAACUGGAUAAUUGAGUUUAGAGGAAAGAGAUACCAUGUUGUGACAGUAGUGAUACAGCAGUUAUUAAUUAAGUAUGUGUAUAUAGACAUUAAUAGAUACAAUGUGUAUUUAUUAUGUAAUGAUAUUAUUACAAUAAAUUA